AUUGAACGCUGGCGGCAUGCCUUACACAUGCAAGUCGAACGGUAGGGUAGCAAUACUUGAGAGUGGCGAACGGGUGAGUAAUAUAUCGGAACGUGCCCAGUCGUGGGGAUAACGUAGAGAAAUUUACGCUAAUACCGCAUACGAUCUAAGGAUGAAAGCGGGGGAUUCGCAAGAACCUCGCGCGAUUGGAGCGGCUGAUAUCAGAUUAGGUUGUUGGUGAGGUAAAAGCUCACCAAGCCGACGAUCUGUAGCUGGUUUGAGAGAACGACCAGCCACACUGGGACUGAGACACGGCCCAGACUCCUACGGGAGGCAGCAGUGGGGAAUUUUGGACAAUGGGCGAAAGCCUGAUCCAGCAAUGCCGCGUGCAGGAAGAAGGCC
rnacentral:rRNA from 1 species